AGAGAGAGCAAAUAAGUAUCAAGAACUAUGAAGGGUCUGGGUUGUCACCUUCCCUGCAAGCUGACAAUUUAACCUGAUACAGUUUUGGAUGCCGGCAGAAGACACGAGACUCCAGGGUCAGAGACAAAAGACUUUAUUACUUGCAGUGCAGGUGGCAUGAACUUCCUGUUUGUGCCAGUUCUUCCCAAGUCCCACAGGGACCAUUCAGGUGAUCCCAGGUAGGUAAUGGACACAAAAUGUGCUUGAACCACAGCCGGGGAGCUCUACGCUGAGAAAUCCCAGACUUUUCUAGUAGAUUACACACAAACCUGCUCCACCUUUAUCUCAGAGGGAGGCAUUAUCGUUAUCAUAGGGACAGCAAACAAACCUGCUCUCUGCUCUGCAGGAAGAAACUAUCUUCCAUGGCUGUUUGCUAUACAAACAUCCUUGAAAAGACAACCAAAAAAACCUUGCCCAUGCCACUGUUUGCAAGUUGUACAGAAAUGCCAAACACUCACAAAGAUUGUUUCCCAGUAGUGGUGGCACUGACACCCAAUGGGUGGUGGCUACUGUUUGUAAGGGUAAUUGGGGCUGAAGGUCAAGCACAAAAGUCUGCUCAGGGUAUAGUGUAGUGGUUCAAUGAGUAGACUCUAGAGUCAGACCACCUGGGUUCAAAUCCUGAUUCUGUUACUUUUUAGCUGUGUCACCUUGAGCAAGUCACUUGACUUCUCUGUGCUCCAGUUUAUCCUGCUAUAUGAUGGAAAUAGUAAUAGCCUCUAUCUCAAAGGGUUAGGUGAAAAUUAAUAUAUGAGCUUAUGUAUGCAAGGCACUUAGAAGAGCAUGAGCUGAUUGGGAGCCAUGUCAGUGUUAACUAUAAUUAUCACUAAUUAUCAUGACGGUGCCACAGAGCUCGUGGUCAUGCCUGCUUUUCGGCAUUUGUGGCCAAGCUCUGUAACCCACACAGUUCCCCUGGAGUCUGUCUCCGAGAUUUCUAGGAGGACACAGGGCCCUUUGCUUCCUCCACCCCACACUGGCUUAGUAAACACGGCAGUGGGGCUGGAGCGGUGGUGGUCUCAGGUCCCAGGGUAUCAGACAGACUCAGGUUCAAAUCCUGGCUUUGGCACAUGCCAGCUGGGUGACCUUGCAUGUGACCCACCAAGAAGAUAAUCUGGAUCAUCCUUAGCCAGUGCCACUUUGAUGACAUUGUUGUCAUGUUAUUCAAUCAGCAAGACUUCACAGGAUGCCAGAGGAGGAGAUCUUUGCUCUUGUCCACCAACAGUAAGUGCGCUCUGGCUCCCUUGGUCUCUCUGGUGCCUCAAACUCCAGGAGACACAUCGAGGGCCCCCCCCCCAUACUCUCCUCUGUCAUCUGACCCUAGUGUCCUCAUUUCCCACCUACCACACUCUUUCUGCCCAUCUCUCCACAGUCAAGGCCUGCUCACCUCCUCUAGGACUCUCUCACCCGUGGUCUUCAUAUAUGCAACACCUGUUUCUACUC
rnacentral:lncRNA from 1 species